UGGUUGGUGUCUCACAAAUGAGC
rnacentral:piRNA from 1 species